rnacentral:rRNA from 1 species
CAGUGGGGAAUAUUGCACAAUGGGCGCAAGCCUGAUGCAGCUAUGCCGCGUGUAUGAAGAAGGCCUUAGGGUUGUAAAGUACUUUCAAUAAGGAAGAAGUAAUAAAAUAUAAUAUAUUUUAUUAUUGACGUUACUUAUAAAAGAAGCACCGGCUAACUCCGUGCCAGCAGCCGCGGUAAUACGGAGGGUGCUAGCGUUAAUCGGAAUUACUGGGCGUAAAGAGCACGUAGGCGGUUUAUUAAGUCAGAUGUGAAAUCCCUAAGCUUAACUUAGGAACUGCAUUUGAAACUAAUUUACUUGAGUAUCAUAGAGGGGAGUAGAAUUCCAGGUGUAGCGGUGAAAUGCGUAGAUAUCUGGAGGAAUACCAGUGGCGAAGGCGACUCCCUGGAUGAAUGCUGACGCUCAGGUGCGAAAGCAUGGGUAGCAAACAGGAUUAGAUACCCUGGUAGUCCAUGCUGUAAACGAUGUCGACUUGGAGGUUGUAAGCUUGUCUUGUAGCUUCCGUAGCUAACGCGUUAAGUCGACCGCCUGGGGAGUACGACCGCAAGGUUAAAACUCAAAUGAAUUGACGGGGGCCCGCACAAGCGGUGGAGCAUGUGGUUUAAUUCGAUGCAACGCGAAAAACCUKACCUGGUCUUGACAUCNAUKGAAUUUAAUAGAGAUAUUUUAGUGCCUUCGGGAACCAUGAGACAGGUGCUGCAUGGCUGUCGUCAGCUCGUGUUGUGAAAUGUUGGGUUAAGUCCCGCAACGAGCGCAACCCUUGUCCUUUGUUGCCAACGGUUCGGCCGGGAACUCAAAGGAGACUGCUGGUGAUAAGCCGGAGGAAGGUGGGGAUGACGUCAAGUCAUCAUGGCCCUUACGACCAGGGCUACACACGUGCUACAAUGGUAUAUACAAAGGGAAGCAUCCUCGCAAGAGUAAGCGGAUCUCAUAAAAUAUAUCUUAGUUCGGAUUGGAGUCUGCAACUCGACUCUAUGAAGUCGGAAUCGCUAGUAAUCGUAGAUCAGAAUGCUACGGUGAAUACGUUCCCGGGCCUUGUACACACCGCCCGUCACACCAUGGGAGUGGGUUGUAAAAGAAGUAGGUUGCUUAACCUUACGGAGAGCGCUUACCACUUUGUGAUUCAUAACUGGGGUGAAGUCGUACA